UGCCAGAUUUAACUACAAUAAAUACACAAUCAUUUUCCAUUCACCAAUAAGUUAUUGCGCUAAUACGUUAUAGAAGGGUAUUGCAUCAGUCCCAACAAAUUACAAGAGGAGCAGAAAAAGUAGGGAGUUUAGGGUUCAUACAAAUGCCAAUCACCAUCAGAACAAGUAACAAAAAGAUUGGCUAUUUGCUUCCCAUUUUGUGAACCUAUAAUGCACAAGCCCUGUCCAUACGGCACAAUCUUGUAUUAUUCAUCCUUGAUGGGAAUC
rnacentral:misc_RNA from 1 species